UCCGGUAUGGUGUAACGGCUAACAUUGCCGCCUUUCAUUAGAAUUCGCGGCAGCUCGGGGUUCGAUUCCCCGUACCGGAA